UACGGAGGGGACGAGCGUUAUUCAUCCUUAUUGGGCGUAAAGGGUACGUAGGUGGUGGUUCAUAUUUAUUCGAAAAGUUCAAGUUUAUCUCUUGAGAUUGGAAUAAAUAUUAAUAAAUUCGAGGUUCUAGGGGUUGGCAGAAUUACUAAAGUAGAGGUAAAAUAUUACGAUCUUAGUACGAAUAACAAGAGCGAAAGCAGCUUUCGUAUGAAUCUGACACUGAGGUACUAAAGCAUGGGGAUCAAACAGG
rnacentral:rRNA from 1 species